UACGUAGGGUGCAAGCGUUAAUCGGAAUUACUGGGCGUAAAGCGUGCGCAGGCGGUUCGCUAAGACCGAUGUGAAAUCCCCGGGCUUAACCUGGGAACUGCAUUGGUGACUGGCGGGCUAGAGUAUGGCAGAGGGGGGUAGAAUUCCACGUGUAGCAGUGAAAUGCGUAGAGAUGUGGAGGAAUACCGAUGGCGAAGGCAGCCCCCUGGGCCAAUACUGAUGCUCAUGCACGAAAGCGUGGGGAGCAAACAGGAUUAUGAUACCCUUCGUA
rnacentral:rRNA from 1 species